GAUGAACGCUAGCGGCAGGCCUAACACAUGCAAGUCGAGGGGUAUAGUUCUUCGGAACUAGAGACCGGCGCACGGGUGCGUAACGCGUAUGCAAUCUACCUUUUACAGGGGAAUAGCCCAGAGAAAUUUGGAUUAAUGCCCCAUAGUGUUAUAGAAUCGCAUGGUUUUAUAACUAAAGUUCCAACGGUAAAAGAUGAGCAUGCGUCCCAUUAGAUAGUUGGUAAGGUAACGGCUUACCAAGACAAUGAUGGGUAGGGGUCCUGAGAGGGAGAUCCCCCACCACUGGUACUGAGACACGGACCAGACUCCUACGGGAGGCAGCAGUGAGGAAUAUUGGACGAAUAGGGCGGCGA
rnacentral:rRNA from 1 species